ensembl:lncRNA
GGGACAAUCCCUAUGCAUUUGUUGAAAAUAAUGUUUUUUCCCUUUUAACUGACUUGGCACCUUUGUCAAAUAUCAAUUGACUACAAAUAUGAGGAUUUAUUUCUGGACUCUCAGUUGGUCUAUAUGUCUAUCCUAGGUCAACAUCCCACUGUCCUGAUUAUUCUAGAUUACAGUAAAUUUUGAAAUGGCAAAAUGAACUCGGAAAAUAAUGUUUCCAUGUACCCUUCUUGAGGAGUCUACUAGAGAAAGAGCUUCAAACUAUCCAAAUGACUAGAAAGACACCAGUAUAAGGACUGCUGAGUCGCUCAAGGCAAGAAGACCCAGAGACAGUAAGACUGAAACAAAAAGCAA